CCGCUCUUACAAGGUUCGCGUCUUCUCCCUCCUAAAAAGUUCCAUUUCAUAGACGGUCCACAGCGUCUAUCGACAUUCGUACUUGCCGUACAAAUCGCGAAAUUUCCUCCCGCCAUAGACGCCCUGUAGGCUUUAUACUUGCACGCAACACACAAGAAACAAACAACCCAACAUAAAUCAAGGACUCGGAAGAAUAUUCUUUCUUUAUCUUUU
rnacentral:lncRNA from 1 species